GAGGCAUCAUUUUUAUUUUUACCACAGAUAUGAAGUCUAGUCACCAAACAAUGAAUAAUACAACAUGUAAUGUCAUAGUCUGCCAGCUCUAGCAACUCCUAAACAACAUCUUAACUUAAAGAGAUGUUCAGGAACAAUAAGGACCACAAAAAAAUAGAGCUGAAGAGAAUAUAGUAAGUACCAAAAGGAAAACACAUCCAGAUCUCUGCUAAUCCCAAAGUUCAGCAGAAUUUGACCUUGCCAAUAUUUAGAAGAGCCAUAGCUCCUGUUUAAACUCCUCUGCUCUGUAAUAAUUCCUCAAAAAAACCAGCCCCAGAAAAGUAAAUAAGAAGCCAUGUGCUGCCAGUUAAGCAAGUUGUAAGCUGGGACGCUGAUCAGCUUCUCCUCCGCUUUCUCAAGACAGGCCACAUGAAGUCUUCAUUCAUCGACAAGCAGUCCACUAAAGGAAUUCAGGAGGUGGGCAAUAUGAACUCCGUACUAAUCGUGGGAAGCCGAGGUCUGAGGGAAAGGAAUCCAACCCAAGCAAGUCUGUCUGCAGCUCCAUACGUUCGGAAAGAUGCAAGUGCUGUGGAUGUGCUGACCACAGGAAACCUCUGCACCAGCACAAGUCCUCCCACUGAAUGACUCAGCAAUACAGCACUUCUCCAGGGCUCAUCUGGAGGCCUAUGCAGCAUGACUGCAACUUACUCGGGAGAAUCUUGCCCUGGUUCCCCCAUCUGACCACAAAUAUAAAAUGCAUGCCAUAUACUUUGAGGUAAAUAAGUGAACCAGUUCUCAGUUAUUAUUACACCUCCUGUCUGUAAUAUAAUUCUUAUGCAGAAGCAAUUAACUAAUGUUUAUUGAAUUUGAAUGAAUGAUGAAUGAGAGAUGCCAGAUGACACAAGGUACCUUAUGGGUUCAUAGAAAACAAACCUUGAAAG
rnacentral:lncRNA from 1 species